rnacentral:lncRNA from 1 species
AGCACCACCGCCACCUCCUCCCAGGCCCUCGUCAUGGGAGUGGCGCCCUCCAAGGGCAACGGGCCCUCGUUCGAGGCCGCCGCCGCCGAGAACGGCGGGUGCAAGUGCGGCCCCAACUGCACCUGCAACCCGUGCACCUGCAAGUGAUCAGUCGAAUCAACACAUGGAGACGGCAUGGAUGGAUGGACGGACCUGACGAAGGAGCACUACAGUACGAGUAGUAGUAGCCAUCCAUGAAUCGCGAGUGUGUGUUUCGUUUUUAAUUGCCACCUACUAGAAUAAGACGGGAUCUAUCGUAUCGUAAUCGUAUCGAGCUAGUCAACGGAUUAUGUGUACGUACCCCUUGUGGCUUGUACGGUGUUUUGUGUUGUGUUGUCAUGUGCUUCUCCUACCGCUUUAGUUCCGUCCUCGUGUGCCUUCCCCGUCUUAUCUACAUAUAUAUACUCCUGUGUAUGUAGACAAUAAUAAUUUGGAGUUUCUGUCUUUUUCUUUUUUAUCUCGUAAUAUGUGUCUUGUUUCUAUCAUAAAGAUCAAAGUAUAAAUCACAUAAGAAAACAUAUCUGCGUUUGACACCAAACGUCCAUCACCAAUGACACCAUCAUAGCAGUUAUCAAAGGAAAAAAUAACGAAUCACUUGACGCGGCUUCAUUAUUAAUAUAUAGCUUUGUGAACUUUAAGACCUUUAAGGUGGCUCACAGAAACUGCAGAUCUAGUACAACGUCAAAGGAAAAACACCGUACCUGCCAUCCACAAACCCCACAACACGGCCCGUCGUUCGAGGCCGCCGCCGAGAACGAAGGGUGCAAGUGCGGCCCCAACUGCACCUGCAAGUGAUCAAUCAAAUCAAGACAAUG